GUAGGUGAACCUGCGGAAGGAUCAUUAUUGAAUAAACUUGGUUAGGUUGUUGCUGGCUCUUAGGAGCAUGUGCACGCCGACUCCAUUUUUAACCACCUGUGCACCUUGCGUAGAUCUGAUACUCUCGAGGAAACUCGGUUUGAGAAUUGCUGUGCAACAAAAGGCCAGCUCUUCUUGUAUUCAGGUCUAUGUUUCUACAUACCCCACAUGAAUGUAUUUUGAAUGUCGUCAUUGGCCUUGUGCCUUUAAAAACAAAUACAACUUUCAACAACGGAUCUCUUGGCUCUC
rnacentral:misc_RNA from 1 species